UAGGGAAUCUUCGGCAAUGGACGAAAGUCUGACCGAGCAACGCCGCGUGAGUGAAGAAGGUUUUCGGAUCGUAAAACUCUGUUGUUAGAGAAGAACAAGGACGUUAGUAACUGAACGUCCCCUGACGGUAUCUAACCAGAAAGCCACGGCUAACUACGUGCCAGCAGCCGCGGUAAUACGUAGGUGGCGAGCGUUGUCCGGAUUUAUUGGGCGUAAAGCGAGCGCAGGCGGUUUCUUAAGUCUGAUGUGAAAGCCCCCGGCUCAACCGGGGAGGGUCAUUGGAAACUGGGAGACUUGAGUGCAGAAGAGGAGAGUGGAAUUCCAUGUGUAGCGGUGAAAUGCGUAGAUAUAUGGAGGAACACCUGUGGCGAAGGCGGCUCUCUGGUCUGUAACUGACGCUGAGGCUCGAAAGCGUGGGGAGCAAACAGG
rnacentral:rRNA from 1 species